UGUAAAAGUUAAAAGCCAGCUUAGACAACACAUUGCAACCUUGAACGAUUAACGAAAGUUGUGUAUUGGAAGAAACAUUAAUAUGUUUGCAAGAAAAUUAAAUCUUGCGUUUUCAGAUGAAUCCAUGAUGAUUUCUGAUGAAAUAUUAUUAAAUAUAAAACCUCACGUUAUUACCAAAGCGGACCGAUGUGACUUUCCAGAAUUUUCUAAGCCAGUGGUUCACGGGGGCUUCAGCUUAUCGCCAUAUGGAAUAUUUGAGAACAAUGCAAAUCGCUCGUGGUUCUUGAGGAUCUAAAAACUUCUCCCAUGAAGGAACUGAAUGCUGAUUGGCUCGCAAAGCUUCGUAGGCACUUCCUAUCCGAGAAUGCAAAUGCAUUGCCGAAACCAUGCGACCCAAUGGAACCGACUGGAUAAUACAACGGAGUGUUUUACUUCAGCAUAAAUGGCACACGUUUUAUUUUCGAUUCACCAGUUCUGGCCGAAGGUUUUAGGACAGGAAGUGACGGGAAUUCAAAUUAUGUCUUUACGGAGCUGCAGUUUCGCCUAGACAGUAUGAGCGUGGAUGAAUAGGCUACGCACAACCGUUGCGACGCCCUCAAGUGGUGGUCCAAGUGCUUUCUGGUGGGCAUCGAAAACAUUUACGUUGCUAAUGUUAACCGCGACACCAUCGCGCACACCAUUAACAAGCUAUCUGUGCGCCAACUUUGGAAGGACUGC